GACGAACGCUGGCGGCGCGCCUAACACAUGCAAGUCGCGCGAGAAAAGGGGGCAACUCCUGAGUAAAGCGGCGCACGGGUGCGUAACACGUGGGUAAUCUACCUCGAGGUCGGGAAUAACCUUCCGAAAGGAGGGCUAAUGCCCGGUAAGACCACGGGAGCUUCGGCUCUUGUGAGAAAAGCAGGCCUCUGUUCACAAGCUUGCGCCAUGAGAUGAGCCCGCGGCCCAUCAGCUAGUUGGCGGGGUAACGGCCCACCAAGGCAACGACGGGUAGCUGGUCUGAGCGGACGGUCAGCCACACUGGAACUGAGACACGGUCCAGACUCCUACGGGAGGCAGCAGUGGGGAAUCUUGCACAAUGGGCGAAAGCCUGAUGCAGCGACGCCGCGUGUGUGAUGAAGGUCUUCGGAUCGUAAAGCACUUUCGGCCGGGAAGAACAAGCAUGUGGCUAACAUCCACGUGCCCUGACGGUACCGGCAGAAGAAGCAACGGCUAACUCUGUGCCAGCAGCCGCCGUAAUAC
rnacentral:rRNA from 1 species